GAGGGCAGAGCUCAGCGGUAGAGCGCGUGCUUCAUGCACAAGGUCCUGGGUUCAACCCCCAGUACCUCCA
rnacentral:tRNA from 1 species